rnacentral:rRNA from 1 species
UACGGAGGGUGCUAGCGUUGUUCGGAAUCACUGGGCGUAAAGGGCGUGUAGGCGGUCUGUUAAGUCUGAUGUGAAAAUCCCCUCGCUCAACGAGGGAACUGCGUCGGAUACUGGCAGACUCGAGUACCGGAGAGGAAGGUGGAAUUCCCGGUGUAGCGGUGAAAAUGCGUAGAUAUCGGGAGGAACACCGGUGGCGAAGGCGGCCUCUGGACGGAUACUGGACGCUGAGACGCGAAAGCGUGGGGAGCAAACAGG